GAUGAACGCUGGCGGCGUGCCUAAUACAUGCAAGUCGAACGAAACUUCUUUAUCACCGAGUGCCUGCACUCACCGAUAAAGAGUUGAGUGGCGAACGGGUGAGUAACACGUGGGCAACCUGCCCAAAAGAGGGGGAUAACACUUGGAAACAGGUGCUAAUACCGCAUAACCAUAGUUACCGCAUGGUGACUAUGUAAAAGGUGGCUAUACUACCGCUUUUGGAUGGGCCCGCGGCGCAUUAGCUAGUUGGUAGGGUAAAGGCUUACCAAGGCAAUGAUGCGUAGCCGAAUUGAGAGGUUGAUCGGCCACAUUGGGACUGAGACACGGCCCAAACUCCUACGGGAGGCAGCAGUAGGGAAUCUUCCACAAUGGGCGAAAGCCUGAUGGAGCAACGCCGCGUGGGUGAAGAAGGUCUUCGGAUCGUAAAACCCUGUUGUUAGAGAAGAAAGUGCGUGAGAGUAACUGUUCACGUUUCGACGGUAUCUAACCAGAAAGCCACGGCUAACUACGUG
rnacentral:rRNA from 1 species